GCCAUAGCUCAGUGGCAAAGCAUCUGCCUUGAAUGUAGAAGGGCUGAGGUUCAAUCACUAUCACCU